rnacentral:lncRNA from 1 species
CACGUGGAAAGAAUCAUGGUGAAGUGGUGCCAAGAUAAUCAAACUGUACCGAACAGUACAACGUCUUACCAUAGAUUGCCUGUAAAUGGAUCUGGGAGAAUUAGUGCAACACUGCAGCUGCUGUCAGUGAAUCUAAAUCAUAGUGGCAUCUAUUACUGCACAGCAUUUGUGGAUUUACCUACACUUGAACCUGCUGAACUUGGAAAUGGGACGCAUGUAUAUGUGGUGCCUAAUUCAACAACAGUGACAACGCAAACUCUCACAAUGAACACAGUGAUGUGGUCAGUGCUUUCAGGCUUGGGCUUUGUUUUGCUGAUCAUCUGCAUUGUCUGUGUUAUUCACAUACAUUAUAAAGGACACUGCAGAAUAGAAUCUAGAGCAAAAGAAGCUCUAGUUGACGUUACCCGUGGAUCACCCUGUCCAGACGCUCACCAAACUCAUGUUGUUUAUGCAGCAUUAAACAUUCCUCGAGACAGUGUAAAA